rnacentral:antisense_RNA from 1 species
AGUUAUUUCGCAACCUUCAUCUGUUCCUGGAAGAUACCCGUAGCCUGACUUCCUUCUUGACAGGCUGAUUUAGGGGUGCUCCCCAAGAAGAUCAGGACUGCUGAAAGAAUGAAGAAGAACCUCCUUGGCCCAGGAUGUGGAUAGAGAACAGAGCGCACUUUCACUUACCUGGCAAGGUGGUUUUGGAAGUUUCCACGGAAGCCUGCCCAGGGCCGCUGCUGCCCGUCCUCGCCUAGAAGAAUUCCAUUCUCCCAUCCUAGGAAGGAGAGUGCCCUGCGUGCCACGAAAGAGCCCAGGACCCACAGGACAGAUAAGUCACUGACAGACCUGCCUUCGCCAGCGCCAGUCCAUCUCUGAAACCUCCAGCAUUUGUGCCCCGGACCGGCCCCUCCCAGGCCUGACUUUCCGUGAACGGUCACUGCGCAGGAUCGAGCUACAAUGAAGAGGAGGGAGGCAGUCUGCACGCACCGCCAUUUUCUAGGAACUGGGAAGCCCCCCCACCCCUUAGGAAGAUCCAUCCCUGUGGAACCUUGCCAAGGCUUACCAGCCUUUGCUGAGCUUGAUCUAUUGUCCCUCCUUGUCCCCAUCAAAAUAUCCAGCACUCCACCUUCAGGGAGUAGACUUGACCCUCAAAUAGCAAGUUCAGCCUUCCCAGGUCUAGGUUCCCUGGGAGGUCAAGAUUCGUCUGGUUCCUUAGUACAGAGGGCUAGCUGUGAGUUGGAAUCCCCCUAUGAGCUUUAGAAUCAGUCAAGAGAAACUGGGCCCCUUCCCUUCAUCCCUCUUCUUUUCCCUUUUUGUCCCAGAGCUCAGCUCUGACUCAAAGUUUUUCCAUUUACCAUCAACAUGGAAACUUGGCUCCUCACAUGCCUAUAUUAUCCCCCUUUUGCACAUGGUCUUGUUGAUCAAAACUCCCUUUCUGUGAAAGAGGCCUGUGGGGCUCAAGAAGCCUGGUCAGCCAGCCAGGCUAGUCCCACAUACCUCAGAACCAGUUUAAUAAAGGCUCUAUGUCAUU